AUUGAACGCUGGCGGCAGGCCUAACACAUGCAAGUCGAGCGGUAACAGAAAGCAGCUUGCUGCUUUGCUGACGAGUGGCGGACGGGUGAGUAAUGUCUGGGAAACUGCCUGAUGGAGGGGGAUAACUACUGGAAACGGUAGCUAAUACCGCAUAACGUCGCAAGACCAAAGAGGGGGACCUUCGGGCCUCUUGCCAUCUGAUGUGCCCAGAUGGGAUUAGCUAGUAGGUGGGGUAACGGCUCACCUAGGCGACGAUCCCUAGCUGGUCUGAGAGGAUGACCAGCCACACUGGAACUGAGACACGGUCCAGACUCCUACGGGAGGCAGCAGUGGGGAAUAUUGCACAAUGGGCGCAAGCCUGAUGCAGCCAUGCCGCGUGUAUGAAGAAGGCCUUCGGGUUGUAAAGUACUUUCAGCGGGGAGGAAGAGAGUAAAGUUAAUACCUUUGCUCAUUGACGUUACCCGCAGAAGAAGCACCGGCUAACUCCGUG
rnacentral:rRNA from 1 species